UGCCGAGUCGUCUAAUGGUAGGACUGCAGAUUCUGGAUCUGCCUAUUGGGGUUCGAAUCCCUGCUCGGCAGCCG
rnacentral:tRNA from 1 species